UAAAACUCAAAUGAAUUGACGGGGGCCCGCACAAGCGGUGGAGCAUGUGGUUUAAUUCGAUGCAACGCGAAGAACCUUACCUGGUCUUGACAUCCACAGAACUUUCCAGAGAUGGAUUGGUGCCUUCGGGAACUGUGAGACAGGUGCUGCAUGGCUGUCGUCAGCUCGUGUUGUGAAAUGUUGGGUUAAGUCCCGCAACGAGCGCAACCCUUAUCCUUUGUUGCCAGCGGUCCGGCCGGGAACUCAAAGGAGACUGCCAGUGAUAAACUGGAGGAAGGUGGGGAUGACGUCAAGUCAUCAUGGCCCUUACGACCAGGGCUACACACGUGCUACAAUGGCGCAUACAAAGAGAAGCGACCUCGCGAGAGCAAGCGGACCUCAUAAAGUGCGUCGUAGUCCGGAUUGGAGUCUGCAACUCGACUCCAUGAAGUCGGAAUCGCUAGUAAUCGUGGAUCAGAAUGCCACGGUGAAUACGUUCCCGGGCCUUGUACACACCGCCCGUCACACCAUGGGAGUGGGUUGCAAAAGAAGUAGGUAGCUUAACCUUCGGGAGGGCGCUUACCACUUUGUGAUUCAUGACUGGGGUGAAGUCGUAACAAGGUAACCGUAGGGGAACCUGCGGUUGGAUCACCUCCUUA
rnacentral:rRNA from 1 species